rnacentral:misc_RNA from 1 species
CCUCCAUCAUUUCAUUACAACAAUUUGGGUUAUUCACAAAUUUAUGGUUGCAUCUGCCAAUUAUGAUGAUAUUGAUCGAGCACUGAAGGAAUAUAAUAUAUUGCUUAUCAUAUUGGGUUCUCCAGCAUGUUACACCUGGAAGAGCACACUGGAGAAGUAUAUUCAGGAAUUCUUUGGCAUCAUAUUUGAGAAUAAUUAACGGUCUCCAUCAUUUCAUUACAACAAUUUCAUAGAUAUGACACGAACAAAAGGUGAAAAUCAACAUUUCAUACAGCAAAAGCAUGGGCUCAGAAACCAGACAGGAAUUUUUAUUAGCACUGGCCAUAAGCCAUAUCGGUUGGUGAGUCAGAAGCACCCACCCAGCAGAAUGGUCUCUAUUUCUCUCUCAGAGACUGGUGUACGCUUAGGCUGAAGAGAAGCUUUGCCUCCUACAGCAGUGUUAGAGGGUGGUGCCGGCACAUCUGACCUUGCCAUUGCAUGAGAUUUGGAAAUGGAACCAGAAGAUGAAGAUUUCGGGUGUCUUUGUGGGAAUUUAAUCCGUGGAAUUCUCCUCAUAAUAUGCUCUCCGGCCAUUUUAUCGCUUCCAAGUUCCAACUUUUCCUUCCCCGUUUCUGAUUCCGCCAGAAGCAACUUGAAAGAUAUC